GUCUACGGCCAUGCCACCCUGAACAUGCCCGAUCUCGUCUGAUCUCGGAAGCUAAGCAGGGUCAGGCCUGGUUAGUACUUAGAUGGGAGACCACCUAAGAAUAACAGGUGCUGUAGGUG
rnacentral:rRNA from 1 species